AUUGAACGCUGGCGGCAGGCCUAACACAUGCAAGUCGAGCGGAGCGGCGGACGGGGGAGUAAUGCCUAGGAAUCUGCCUGGUCGUGGGGGAUAACGUCAGGAAACGGGCGCUAAUACCGCAUACUCUCAGAUGAGCCUAGGUCGGAUGAGCGAGUUGGUGGGGGAAAGGCCUACCAAGGCGACGAUCCGUAACUGGGCUGAGAGGAUGAUCAGUCACACUGGAAAUUAGACACGGUCCAGACUCGUACGGUAGGCAGCAGUGGGGAAGAUUGGACAAUGGGAGAAAGCCUGAUGCAGCUAUGCAGCGUGUCUGAAGAAGGUCUUCGGGUUGUAAAGUACUUUCAGUUGGGAGGCGUUACCCGCAGAAUAAGCACCGGCUAACUCCGUGCCAGCCGCCGCGGUAAUAC
rnacentral:rRNA from 1 species